GUUUUUCUCUGCAAGCCUCAUGAAUUCAGGUUCAUUCCAGAGAUUUUUUCUCUUCAUGUCUCAUGAAUUGUGGUUAAUUCCUAGAGAGUUUUUCUCUGUAAGUCUCAUGAAUUGGGGUUCAUUACAGGGAGUGAGUUUUUCCCUGCAAGUCUCAUGAAUUCAGGUUCAUUCUAGAGAGUUUUUCCCUGCAAGUCUCAUGAAUUCAGGUUCAUUCCAGAGAGUUUUUCUGUAGAAAAAUUCCACAGAAUUGGUGGCCAGUUUUUCCAUCAAAAAAUUCCAUAGAAUUGGGAGCGCUGGUCAGGAGUUUUUCCAGGUUAGAUGGGCCGUGUGGUGUGGAAAAACUCCUGGCCUUAAUUAUAGGCUGCAACUAGAGCCAGGAGCUCCUCCCUCUCCUGAUCAGGAUAAACUCCAGGACCCAUCCAUAAAGACUGAUAACUGCAAACGCAGAACUUUCCCAAUACAGAGACUAUGGAUGGCCUUGGCUACAUCCCGAAUGGCACCCUAUUUCCCUUUAUAGUGCACACUACUUUUGACCAGGGCCCAUAAGGCUAUGGUUGAAAGUAGUGCACUAUAUAGGGAAUAGGGUAUCAUUUGACACACAAGACCAUGAAUGGCCACGAGUCAGAAUACACCUAAAGGGAUUACAUUUGCAAAGCUAUAAUGUCAUUUUGUAAACCCAAUAUAUAUAAUUUGAUAUCUAAUUGUACUUUUUUUUUGUGUGUAUUCCUGUGAAGAAAUAUAUAUUCUGUAUAAUAAUAUUUUAGUACUUUUAAAGGUUCAUUGAAUAAGAACCAGGGAUUCACUGACGGCAUCUUUAACUGAUUCUGAAUAUAUUCUAUCAAACUUUUCUCUUUUCAUAACGUGGGCUUCGUCCAAAAAUGGCACCCUAUUCCUUUUCAUAGUGCACUACCCAGUCUUCAUUGUGAUAGGGGAUAGGGUGUCAUUUGUGACACAGAUAUGGGAUGUAAAAUGUACUACCAGUGACUUGAGCCAUGUGGGCCCUGUAAUACAUGGGGUAGAGGGUUCCAACCGUGGUCAACUGUGAACAGGAAGUGGCUGUCAUACUUCCAGAUGACACCGUAAUUCCCCUUUUAUUGUGCACUACUACCACAUAAUGCUCUGGUCAGACGUAGAGUACUGUAACAGGGAUAUAUACCCCUCCCCCCCCACCACCCAGACCGAUCGUGGUGUCAUGUUUUGAGUGAUGAUGCAGGUGUUUGUUUUAUAUCUACCACAGACACUUUACUGGUCCUGUUGUUACUACUACUACUUAUCGUCUGGGAUUGAACGGCAAGCCACGUCUUACCCAUUUAUUUUUAGAUUUUUGAUCUAAUAUUUAAUAAUCUAUUGAGGGGGGGG
rnacentral:lncRNA from 1 species